UUCUUUGACUCGGAAAGGGAACUCCCUGACCCCUUGCGCUUCCCGAGUGAGGCAAUGCCUCGCCCUGCUUCAGCUCGUGCACGGUGCGCUGCACCCACUGUCCUGCGCCCCCUGUCUGGCACUCCCUAGUGAGAUGAACCCUCAGAUGGAAAUGCAGAAAUCACCCGUCUUCUGCGUCGCUCACGCUGGGAGCUGUAGACCGGAGCUGUUCCUAUUGGGCCAUCUUGGCUCCACCACCCUGAGAUAGGGUCUCACUCUGUCGCCCAGGCUGGAGUGCGGUGGCGCGAUCACGGCUCACUGCAGCCUCCAACUCCUGGACUCAAGCGAUCCUCCCUCCUCGGCAUCCCUGGACUAUAGGCGUGAGCCACCGCUUACGGGCGAAGACUUGCUUGUCCGUGUCCUUGCCAUCUAAGUGGAGAGCCUACGACUAGAUUUGCAUCUUUACGUCCUGCGCGGAGGCUGCUACACACAUGCAGAAGUCAUGCUGGUGGCCUGGACAGUGAAGGGAGAGAAGUGGAUUUGGGAGACAUUUAGGAGAUGGCACCAAAAGCGAAGGAAGCUCCUGCUCAUCCUAAAGCCGAAGCCAAAGCGAAGGCUUUAAAGGCCAAGAAGGCAGUGUUGAAAGGUGUCCGCAGCCACACGCAAAAAAGAAGAUCCGCAUGUCACUCACCUUCAGGCGGCCCAAGACACUGCGACUCCGGAGGCAGCCCAGAUAUCCUCGGAAGAGCACCCCCAGGAGAAACAAGCUUGGCCACUAUGCUAUCAUCAAGUUUCCGCUGGCCACUGAGUCGGCCGUGAAGAAGAUAGAAGAAAACAACACGCUUGUGUUCACUGUGGAUGUUAAAGCCAACAAGCACCAGAUCAGACAGGCUGUGAAGAAGCUCUAUGACAGUGAUGUGGCCAAGGUCACCACCCUGAUUUGUCCUGAUAAGGAGAACAAGGCAUAUGUUCGACUUGCUCCUGAUUAUGAUGCUUUCGAUGUUGUAACAAAAUUGGGAUCACCUAAACUGAGUCCAGCUGGCUAACUCUAAAUAUAUGUGUAUCUUUUCAGCAUAAAAAAAUAAUGUUUUUCAUAAGAAUGACAACUUAAUUAGAAUCAAAUCUAUAAGCUUUAAGAUUUUACGUUUCUAGUAAGUAUAAUAUUAGCUUAUUUGACUAGAACUCAAGCAGAAUAGGAAUUUAUGCUUGUUUUAUAUUCAAUAAUGAUAAUUUUGAAGAUAUAGUUGUUUUAUUACACCAAAAAUACUAUAUUAAUCUUAUUUAACUAAGUUUUAUCCAAAUCAUGUUAACUUAAGAAACAUUUGAUCAGUUCCUAUAUUUCUAGGAGUUUGGUGAAUAUUUAUUUAUAAAUGCUUAUUUUUUUCCAAGCCAAGUUAGAAUAGAGCACUUUUAGAGGAUUUCAUAAAUGAAUUUUGCAAUGCUCUCUGGAGUUAAGAAAAUAUCACAUAUACAUAACAUACAUUAAUAGAUACACAAACACAAAUAGAGAUUUCAUAGCUUUCAUCCUGAAAUUUCAGCCA